AUUAUCAUCUCUUUGGGCUUGGAUAAGAAUGGUUGCUAUUUGGACUGUUUAUUUGGCUUUGGAUUUUUGCCCUUUUAGAAAGAAGAUGUGUGCCAUACUGUAAAAAACUGAGCACUUAUUUGACAGCCACCUUUCUUGGCCUAAACAUAUGUUUAUUUAUAUGGCAGAUAUACAGGUCUUUAUCUGUUUUUAUGGAAUUGAUAAAGUGCAGAAAGUAUGAUGUUAGCAUAUUUAAACAUGGUUUUGUUUUGUAAGUGUUUUUAUAACUUUCAGACAAAGAAGUACAAAUCUCAAGAAAUUUCAAAUGAAAAAGCUUUUAAGCAGGUUUUAAACUUUUAAUUAAUUAGCAAAAUUUAGAAGUUUUUCACUCUUAUUAACGUCUCAGAUACUGCUGGAGAUGAGAAUAAGAACAAUGGUGUUUCAAAUUGUGAUAUACUUCCUGUGAGUGCACAUAAAUUAGAUGAAAGAAGAAAUAAACAACAGCCACAGAACAAUUAUUUUUAGGUUUUUUUUUUUAAGACAGAGUCUUUCUGUUGCCCAGGCUAGAGUGCAGAGGCACUAUCUUGACUCAAUGCAACCUCUGCCUCCCAGGUUCAACCAAUUCUCCUGCCUCAGCCUCAAGAGUAGCUGGGAUUACAGUCACCCACCACAACACCUGGAAAACAAUUUAAUCAAUGCAAUUUUAGAAGAUAUUAUAAGUGGUAGCCUGAGGGAGGAGUUGAUGGUAACUUCAUAAGAAACUAUUGUUAGCUCUUGGUGAUGUCACUGACCUCCUGUGCAUCUGAUACUGCUCACAAGUUCCACGUAAGUACAGGUUAAGCAUGUGGCUUGGUCCCAUCCUUAAGGAUUCUGAUUCGGUAGUUCUAGUUGGAAUCUGGAAAUCUAUACAAAUACUUGAGCGGUUUCUGAUUUUGAUUCUUAAAGGAAAGCAUACUGAGAAACACAGAUCUAAAUACCCUUCUACCAGUGAAGGCCUGCGAACUGCCUCCGUAUGCACUUCCCCUUCUCUACUGAAUGCUUUCCUUUUUUCCACUGGUUCAUUUUGACUAAUUGCAAAAUCUUCACAGAACACCCUGAGCAGAAUACAUGGUCCUUCCCAGUGCUCACUAUCCAUCCCAUACAGUAACAUUGCUUUAGUGCAUUGAACUAUACUUAUUUUAUUUUACAUUUUCCCCGAUUAGCUUCUCAGCUCUUUAAGGGUAAGGACUAGAGUUCUUUUUUCUUUUUAGUGUGCGUAUUUAUUUUUUAAUCCCCAGUGCAAGGGGUAGUGCCUCAUAUACAGAAAGCACUCAAAACAUAUUUAAAUAAAUCAAUAUGUUAAAAUAAAUUGAUGGAAACAAUACAUCAAACAAGGCUGUUUCUGUAUAAACCUGGCUCUGGCUUGGAACGAAUUUGAAACACAAGCCAAAUAUUAUUUGGUGAGA
rnacentral:lncRNA from 1 species